AAUCCACUUGUGGCAUGGCUGUCUUGGAACACAAUAGACAGAUGGUGGCAGAAUGCCCCCACACUUAAAUUCAACUAAAAUGUAACAGUGACCAAUCAUGUUCGACCUACAGUCUGUUGAGAUGCCUCUCCAAACGCAGAAACGAAGCACAAUCACACAAUAAAACGUUA